rnacentral:rRNA from 1 species
UACAGAGGGUGCAAGCGUUAAUCGGAAUUACUGGGCGUAAAGCGUGCGUAGGCGGUCACGUAAGUCGGGUGUGAAAGCCCCGGGCUCAACCUGGGAAUUGCAUUCGAGACUGCAUGGCUAGGGUGCGGAAGAGGGAAGCGGAAUUUCCGGUGUAGCGGUGAAAUGCGUAGAUAUCGGAAGGAACACCAGUGGCGAAAGCGGCUUCCUGGUCCAGCACCGACGUUCAGGCACGAAAGCGUGGGGAGCAAACAGG